UCAGUUGGUAGAGCGCUGGACUGUUAAUCCAGAGCGCCCUGGUUCGAUGCCAGGUUGAGGAGCCA